rnacentral:lncRNA from 1 species
UCCUGCCAUGUGAGACGCCUCACUCCCUCUUUGUCUUCUGCCAUGACUGGAAGAUUCCUGAGGCCUCCCUAGAAGCAGAAGCCACUGUGCUUCCUGUACAGCCUUCAGAACUGUUUUUGUUGUUGUUCUACAUGCAUUUUUGACAUGUUACGUAUUGGCAUCUCCUUCGGACCUGUUGCCAACCAACUGAAUCUAUUUCCAUCAACACUCAAGGCUGCAACAUGCAGAUGCAAUGCUCAUCUUUGCUCCUUU